AAACAAUUAACCAAAAGAGAAGGACGUUGAGCAAACUAGAGGAGGAUGUUGAACCAAAAAUUUGAAGUUAAACUUACAGUGAAGUUUCUAUGACACGAAGGAACAGCCAUUCGAAUCUAAUUUCUGUAUACACAAACCAAAAGGAACAACUAUUUUUUUUAUUUAGUAAAUCAUUUCCAUCAAGGACUUAACUGUAGUUAAAGUUAACUUGUUUACAUUUGAUGCUUGCAGGAAAUAAUGGGAAAAGUAAAUUUCUGUACGAAAAUUUUACCUCAAAAAACUUAGUUAAUGAUUGUACAGUUACGGCUCUUA